rnacentral:rRNA from 1 species
GGCGGACGGGUGAGUAACGCGUAGGAAUCUACCUAGUAGAAGGGGAUAGCCCGGGGAAACCCGGAUUAAUACCGUAUACCUCCUUCGGGAGAAAGAAGGCCUCUCUUUGAAGCUUUCGCUAUUAGAUGAGCCUGCGUAAGAUUAGCUUGUUGGUGAGGUAAAGGCUCACCAAGGCGACGAUCUUUAGCUGGUCUGAGAGGACGAUCAGCCACAUUGGGACUGAGACACGGCCCAGACUCCUACGGGAGGCAGCAGUGGGGAAUAUUGGACAAUGGGCGCAAGCCUGAUCCAGCCAUACCGCGUGUGUGAAGAAGGCCUUCGGGUUGUAAAGCACUUUAAGCAGGGAGAAAAAGUUAUAAGUUAAUACCUUAUAACCGUGAUGUUACCUGCAGAAUAAGCACCGGCUAAUUCCGUGCCAGCAGCCGCGGUAAUACGGAAGGUGCAAGCGUUAAUCGGAAUUACUGGGCGUAAAGCGCGCGUAGGUGGUUUGUUAAGUUGGAUGUGAAAGCCCUGGGCUCAACCUAGGAACUGCAUCCAAAACUAACUCACUAGAGUACGAUAGAGGGAGGUAGAAUUCAUAGUGUAGCGGUGGAAUGCGUAGAUAUUAUGAAGAAUACCAGUGGCGAAGGCGGCCUCCUGGAUCUGUACUGACACUGAGGUGCGAAAGCGUGGGUAGCGAACAGGAUUAGAUACCCUGGUAGUCCACGCCGUANACGAUGACAACUAGCUGUUGGAAGACAACGUCUUUCAGUGGCGCAGCUAACGUUUUAAGUUGUC